rnacentral:rRNA from 1 species
GGUAACGCAGCUAACGCGUGAAGUAGACCGCCUGGGGAGUACGGUCGCAAGAUUAAAACUCAAAGGAAUUGACGGGGACCCGCACAAGCGGUGGAUGAUGUGGAUUAAUUCGAUGCAACGCGAAAAACCUUACCUACCCUUGACAUGGAUGGAAUCCCGAAGAGAUUUGGGAGUGCUCGAAAGAGAACCAUCACACAGGUGCUGCAUGGCUGUCGUCAGCUCGUGUCGUGAGAUGUUGGGUUAAGUCCCGCAACGAGCGCAACCCUUGUCAUUAGUUGCUACGAAAGGGCACUCUAAUGAGACUGCCGGUGACAAACCGGAGGAAGGUGGGGAUGACGUCAAGUCCUCAUGGCCCUUAUGGGUAGGGCUUCACACGUCAUACAAUGGUACAUACAGAGGGCCGCCAACCCGCGAGGGGGAGCUAAUCCCAGAAAGUGUAUCGUAGUCCGGAUUGGAGUCUGCAACUCGACUCCAUGAAGUUGGAAUCGCUAGAAUGGAGG